rnacentral:misc_RNA from 1 species
GAUCAUUACUGAGUGAGGGCCCUCUGGGUCCAACCUCCCACCCGUGUUUAUUGUACCUUGUUGCUUCGGUGCGCCCGCCUCACGGCCGCCGGGGGGCUUCUGCCCCCGGGUCCGCGCGCACCGGAGACACCAUUGAACUCUGUCUGAAGAUUGCAGUCUGAGCAUAAACUAAAUAAGUUAAAACUUUCAACAACGGAUCUCUUGGUUCCGGCAUCGAUGAAGAACGCAGCGAAAUGCGAUAACUAAUGUGAAUUGCAGAAUUCAGUGAAUCAUCGAGUCUUUGAACGCACAUUGCGCCCCCUGGUAUUCCGGGGGGCAUGCCUGUCCGAGCGUCAUUGCUGCCCUCAAGCACGGCUUGUGUGUUGGGCUCCGUCCCCCCGGGGACGGGCCCGAAAGGCAGCGGCGGCACCGAGUCCGGUCCUCGAGCGUAUGGGGCUUUGUCACCCGCUCUGUAGGCCCGGCCGGCGCCAGCCGACAACCAAUCAUCCUUUUCAGGUUGACCUCGGAUCAGGUAGGGAUACCCGCUGAACUUAAGCAUAUCAAUAA